AUUGAACGCUGGCGGCAGGCUUAACACAUGCAAGUCGAGGGGCAGCACAGAAACAGCAAUGUUUUGGUGGCGACCGGCGGACGGGUGCGUAACGCGUAUGCAACCUACCUUUAACAGGGGGAUAACGGAGUGAAAUUUCCACUAAUACCCCAUAACAUCGAUCAAGGCAUCUUGAUUGGUUGAAAACUCCGGUGGUUAAAGAUGGGCAUGCGUUGUAUUAGGUAGUUGGUGAGGUAAUGGCUCACCAAGCCUACGAUACAUAGGGGGACUGAGAGGUUAGCCCCCCACACUGGUACUGAGACGCGGACCAGACUCCUACGGGAGGCAGCAGUGAGGAAUAUUGGUCAAUGGGGCAACCCUGAACCAGCCAUGCCGCGUGCAGGAAGACGGCUCUAUGAGUUGUAAACUGCUUUUAAACAGGGAUAAAGCACAGUAUGUAUACUGUGUUGAAGGUACUGUAAGAAUAAGGAUCAGCUAACUCCGUGCCAGCCGCCGCCGUAA
rnacentral:rRNA from 1 species